GACGAACGCUGGCGGCGUGCUUAACACAUGCAAGUCGAACGGAAAGGCCCUGCUUUUGUGGGGUGCUCGAGUGGCGAACGGGUGAGUAACACGUGAGUAACCUGCCCUUGACUUUGGGAUAACUUCAGGAAACUGGGGCUAAUACCGGAUAGGAGCUCCUGCUGCAUGGUGGGGGUUGGAAAGUUUCGGCGGUUGGGGAUGGACUCGCGGCUUAUCAGCUUGUUGGUGGGGUAGUGGCUUACCAUGGCUUUGACGGGUAGCCGGCCUGAGAGGGUGACCGGCCACAUUGGGACUGAGGUACGGCCCAGACUGCUACGGGGGGCAACAGUGGGAAAUAUUGCACAAUGGGCGGAAGCCUGAUGCAGCAACGCCGCGUGCGGGAUGACGGCCUUCGGGUUGUAAACCGCUUUCGCCUGUGACGAAGCGUGAGUGACGGUAAUGGGUAAAGAAGCACCGGCUAACUACGUG
rnacentral:rRNA from 1 species